rnacentral:rRNA from 1 species
UGAGGAAUAUUGGUCAAUGGACGCAAGUCUGAACCAGCCAAGUAGCGUGCAGGAUGACGGCCCUAUGGGUUGUAAACUGCUUUUAUAUGGGGAUAAAGUGGGGAACGUGUUCCCUUUUGCAGGUACCAUAUGAAUAAGGACCGGCUAAUUCCGUGCCAGCAGCCGCGGUAAUACGGAAGGUUCGGGCGUUAUCCGGAUUUAUUUGGUUUAAAGGGAGCGUAGGCCGUUUGGUAAGCGUGUUGUGAAAUGUAGGAGCUCAACUUCUAGAUUGCAGCGCGAACUGUCAGACUUGAGUGCGCACAACGUAGGCGGAAUUCAUGGUGUAGCGGUGAAAUGCUUAGAUAUCAUGAAGAACUCCGAUUGCGAAGGCAGCUUACGGGAGCGCAACUGACGCUGAAGCUCGAAGGUGCGGGUAUCGAACAGG